rnacentral:lncRNA from 1 species
AAGGCUGUUAGGGUUUAUCGUUUGGAUUUCUGACUUUUGGGGGUGUGACUUUUCCCCUGUAUUUCUUUGGGCUCUGAUUUCAGAUGGCUGGUGACCAGAUGACAAGAAUCUAAUGUUUUGCUUGUGGAUAUUCUUGAACCUUGUGCCUGCUCCUGGCUCCUUUACCAGUGGGAAGUUUGGGAGGCAGAAAAGGGAAGAGAAAUGCAGACCAGUUUGCACUGGGGCAUCUGUGGUCAUCUUGUGAACCCAGGAAGAGUGAAGAAUCUUGCCAGGCAGGAGCAGCACGUGUAUGAGAGCAACACACUCUGCCUUCCAAGCCCAUCCAAGGUUUGGAUGCCACGUGCAUUCUGGAGAAAACAGAGCUUUCUGAAUGAUUUAUGUUGGAAUUUGAUGGAACCAAGUGAUCCUAGGCCAUGCCAGGAUCAAGAUGGCCCACCAAGAGAAGGUAUCAGCUGGGUCCUGCCUACAGUUAUGUCAAACAAAGUGUGCUGCGAAGUGCCAACUCUCCCUUUGUGCUGUGACACCGAGAGCUGCCAAAAGAUAUUAAAAAGCUUGCAUGAACUAGGUGAUGGCAGCUGUAACUAUCUAAGUUAUUGCCUGGCAGCUGCAGCGCUGCCUCACUGCUGCUGGCCGCCUUUAGAGUUGGUUCUCCAUUUGUUUGCCCUUUCUCUAGCAACCGAGAGCACCAAGCCUGCAGUGGGCAAGUGGCCGCCCCAGCCCCCUCGCGCCUGCGGUCGGGAGGCUUGUGGCGUCCACUGCCACCACCACCACCACCGCCGCCACCACCACCGAGGACACACACACACCCUGGCGCAUGCAGCUCCUGGGAGAAGUUGUGUUUCUCUUGGCCUGGCCCCAAGCCCUCGUUUGCACCGGUCAGCUCCACUUUAAGGAGCCUUGGACCAGUGGAUGCUCAGAGCGAGCAUGCACACCCAGGCGCACACACCAAAUGCAGCUUUUUGUGUUUGUGUGUGUGGCUUUUUUUUUCCCCUUCCCUGUUGGCUCCGAGUGAGCUAGAACAAUAUCGCCAGCUCCAAGCCCUGCCAGUCCUACAUCUGCUCCCUAAAACCUCCAGCAAAUAAGAAUACGGUGGGGUUGUUUAACCAACACUUACAAUAUACACACUUUUCAGCUCCUCUCCCCCUGGGUGGCCCAGGCUCAGAGAUCUGGAUGCUGGUGGCAAAGGGUUGAGAGAUAAGGGGCUAAUGAUCCCUGUGGGCAUCUGUCUCUGAAGCCUCCUUCUCUGGCACGUUGAUCUGUGGCAUAAAAUACAUUUCAUUGUCAUGGGCUUCGGGGAAGGUGUCUGUACC